rnacentral:rRNA from 1 species
CUAAUACAUGCAAGUCGAGCGAACAGACAAGGAGCUUGCUCCUUUGACGUUAGCGGCGGACGGGUGAGUAACACGUGGGUAACCUACCUAUAAGACUGGGAUAACUUCGGGAAACCGGAGCUAAUACCGGAUAAUAUUUCGAACCGCAUGGUUCGAUAGUGAAAGAUGGUUUUGCUAUCACUUAUAGAUGGACCCGCGCCGUAUUAGCUAGUUGGUAAGGUAACGGCUUACCAAGGCGACGAUACGUAGCCGACCUGAGAGGGUGAUCGGCCACACUGGAACUGAGACACGGUCCAGACUCCUACGGGAGGCAGCAGUAGGGAAUCUUCCGCAAUGGGCGAAAGCCUGACGGAGCAACGCCGCGUGAGUGAUGAAGGUCUUCGGAUCGUAAAACUCUGUUAUUAGGGAAGAACAUACGUGUAAGUAACUAUGCACGUCUUGACGGUACCUAAUCAGAAAGCCACGGCUAACUACGUGCCAGCAGCCGCGGUAAUACGUAGGUGGCAAGCGUUAUCCGGAAUUAUUGGGCGUAAAGCGCGCGUAGGCGGUUUUUUAAGUCUGAUGUGAAAGCCCACGGCUCAACCGUGGAGGGUCAUUGGAAACUGUAAAACUUGAGUGCAGAAGAGGAAAGUGGAAUUCCAUGUGUAGCGGUGAAAUGCGCAGAGAUAUGGAGGAACACCAGUGGCGAAGGCGACUUUCUGGUCUGUAACUGACGCUGAUGUGCGAAAGCGUGGGGAUCAAACAGGAUUAGAUACCCUGGUAGUCCACGCCGUAAACGAUGAGUGCUAAGUGUUAGGGGGUUUCCGCCCCUUAGUGCUGCAGCUAACGCAUUAAGCACUCCGCCUGGGGAGUACGACCGCAAGGUUGAAACUCAAAGGAAUUGACGGGGACCCGCACAAGCGGUGGAGCAUGUGGUUUAAUUCGAAGCAACGCGAAGAACCUUACCAAAUCUUGACAUCCUUUGACAACUCUAGAGAUAGAGCCUUCCCCUUCGGGGGACAAAGUGACAGGUGGUGCAUGGUUGUCGUCAGCUCGUGUCGUGAGAUGUUGGGUUAAGUCCCGCAACGAGCGCAACCCUUAAGCUUAGUUGCCAUCAUUAAGUUGGGCACUCUAAGUUGACUGCCGGUGACAAACCGGAGGAAGGUGGGGAUGACGUCAAAUCAUCAUGCCCCUUAUGAUUUGGGCUACACACGUGCUACAAUGGACAAUACAAAGGGCAGCGAAACCGCGAGGUCAAGCAAAUCCCAUAAAGUUGUUCUCAGUUCGGAUUGUAGUCUGCAACUCGACUACAUGAAGCUGGAAUCGCUAGUAAUCGUAGAUCAGCAUGCUACGGUGAAUACGUUCCCGGGUCUUGUACACACCGCCCGUCACACCACGAGAGUUUGUAACACCCGAAGCCGGUGGAGUAACCAUUUGGAGCUAGCCGUCGAAGGUGGGACAAAUGAUUGGGGUGAAGUCGUAACAAGGUAGCCGUAUCGGAAGGUGCGGCUG